UUUCCCCUCCGAGUGCCCCGGAGUCCCUAGGAAGUUAAGGAUGUGUGUUCCCUCAUUGCCCCCUUGCUCUUUCCUACUCUUCUCUGUGUUCCAGGGUCCCCCGACAGAGCGAUUCCGAGGCUCUGCCACUAGCGGCUUGUCGGAUGCAGCAGAAGUCCUCGGAGAGCUAAGAAGUCGAUGAAAUCUUAUUUGCGCAUUGCACCGUGACUUCUGAAAGUAAAGAGAAACAGGCCGGAACAAUCAGUGAGUGCAACAUAGGGCAUUUUGUUUGAUAACAGGAACACAGCUGUGGUGUUAAUAAAAUGCUUUAA
rnacentral:lncRNA from 1 species